GAUGAACGCUAGCUACAGGCUUAACACAUGCAAGUCGAGGGGCAGCAUGGUCUUAGCUCGCUAAGACCGAUGGCGACCGGCGCACGGGUGAGUAACGCGUAUCCAACCUUCCGCAUACUCGGGAAUAGCCUUUCGAAAGAAAGAUUAAUGCCCGAUGGUUUCCCGAAUCCGCAUGAGAACGGGAAUAAAGAUUCAUCGGUAUGCGAUGGGGAUGCGUCCCAUUAGCUUGUUGGCGGGGUAACGGCCCACCAAGGCGACGAUGGGUAGGGGUUCUGAUAGGCAGGUCCCCCACAUUGGAACUGAGACACGGUCCAAACUCCUACGGGAGGCAGCAGUGAGGAAUAUUGGUCAAUGGGCGAGAGCCUGAACCAGCCAAGUAGCGUGAGGGAUGACCGCCCUACGCGUCGUAAACCUCUUUUAUAAGGGAAUAAAGAUAAGUACGCGUACUUAGUUGCAUGUACCUUAUGAAUAAGCAUCGGCUAACUCCGUGCCAGCCGCCGCCGUAAUAC
rnacentral:rRNA from 1 species